UGCCUUUCAGGCAAGUCGUCCGUAAUUUGUUCACUGUUCACACUCUUAUUUUGUAAAUGAUGCUUUAUUUUGGUAGAAGAGAUGUAAAUCAGGAAGUGUCUGUGCCUCAUUUGAUGUGCGCGAGGGGAGGGAGUUGUGUAGUUGAGGAAGGAGAAGCUAGAGACCACAUUAUUACAUGCCCACCGAGAAAAAUUCGAAAGAAACUCCAACAGAGGCAACUCUUUUUUCACUCUGUUAUUGGUAGCAAGAUAUCCAAAUAAAGCUACACAACGACCGAAGGACGCCUUGCGUCAUCAGUUAAGAGUUAGUUCGCUGUCUAGCUUGGACAAAGCUAACAUGCGUCUUAGCGAGGACAGUACAAGCAGAUUAACACUUUUGCUGUUCACGAUGGGUAUUCUUGCAACCCUCUGGAAAAAUGUUCAAACUGGAAUUGGGUUUGAGUUUUCUGCACUGUUUUUGCAGAAGUGACGUCAUGCGUGCUCUCAUGGUAGCUUGUUGCCUUACUGCGCCGUGACCAAACGGUAUUAUUUUGCUGUAAUGGAUUCUACAUCUGCUGAGAAGAGACUGCCAUCUAGCUUGCCCCCAAAAACCCACAGUUUCUCCAAGCGAGGAGGGGUAAAAAAAUGAAGGCAAUGCACGCAAACAAAGGAGUGUGCAAUUUCACUUCUAGGCCGCAGGUGGCAGUAGCGAUUAGAAACUCAAAAUCUUGCAGAAUGCAGAAGCUUUAAUGAAUGAAACUGCAAAUUACAUCACGUGCAAAAUAUAA